rnacentral:rRNA from 1 species
AGUGAACGCUGGCGGUAGGCCUAACACAUGCAAGUCGAACGGCAGCACAGUAAGAGCUUGCUCUUACGGGUGGCGAGUGGCGGACGGGUGAGGAAUACAUCGGAAUCUACUUUUUCGUGGGGGAUAACGUAGGGAAACUUACGCUAAUACCGCAUACGACCUACGGGUGAAAGCAGGGGAUCUUCGGACCUUGCGCGAUUGAAUGAGCCGAUGUCGGAUUAGCUAGUUGGCGGGGUAAAGGCCCACCAAGGCGACGAUCCGUAGCUGGUCUGAGAGGAUGAUCAGCCACACUGGAACUGAGACACGGUCCAGACUCCUACGGGAGGCAACAGUGGGGAAUAUUGGACAAUGGGCGCAAGCCUGACCCAGCCAUACCGCGUGGGUGAAGAAGGCCUUCGGGUUGUAAAGCCCUUUUGUUGGGAAAGAAAAGCAGCAGGUUAAUACCCCGCUGUUCUGACGGUACCCAAAGAAUAAGCACCGGCUAACUUCGUG